UACAUUAUUAGAGAGUCAGAAACUUCGGAUUAGUGAAGAGAUCUACAGAAAAUUUAUUGAGAAAAGAUUGCAGUCGGAUACCGAUACAACAUGCACACGGUGCUAAAAGUAUAAUUUAAACCUCACCUUGUCUGGUACUCCAAAACUCCUUCAUACCUGCACGGCUUGCAUAUUCUGAGCAUCUGAAAAGUCAAUACCCUCUCGGUUGAUGAAUCUGGGUUAAGCAGCUUAUUCAGGCAACAAAAAUAAUGGGUAGCAAGAUACGGUGAUAAGGAUAAAUUGACAAAAUCCAGCAAUGUAAUACACCAAUACAAUUCCAGCAAAUUAUAGGGACUCGUCCCAUCAGCGCCACCAACGAUUGAAAUGCUCUUUAGCUUAACAUCUGAUGUAAAUCUAUACAUUAAACAAACAUAUAAGCAAAUUUCAAUAAA